rnacentral:rRNA from 1 species
AUUGAACGCUGGCGGUAGGCCUAACACAUGCAAGUCGAACGCGAAAGUCCUUCGGGAUGAGUAGAGUGGCGGACGGGUGAGUAACGCGUAGGAAUCUAUCCUGUAGUGGGGGAUAUCGUUUCGAAAGGAACGCUAAUACCGCAUACGCCCCAAGGGGGAAAGCGGGGGAUCUUCGGACCUCGUGCUAUAGGAGGAGCCUGCGUCGGAUUAGCUAGUUGGUGAGGUAAAGGCUCACCAAGGCGACGAUCCGUAGCUGGUCUGAGAGGAUGAUCAGCCACCCCGGAACUGGGACACGGUCCGGACUCCGACGGGAGGCAGCAGUGGGGAAUAUUGCGCAAUGGCGAAAGCCUGACGCAGCCAUACCGCGUGUGUGAAGAAGGCCUUCGGGUUGUAAGCACUUUCAGUGGGGAGGAAAAGCUGGUGGCUAAUAUCCAUCGGCCGUGACGCUACCCACAGAAGAAGCACCGGCUAAUUCCGUGCCAGCCGCCGCAGUAAAAC